GCAAGUAGCACACAACGGGUGUUUUACCGUCGCUGGUUCAAGGCGCCCCGGACGCCCGGGGAGAAAAGAAGUGUGUUGUGUUUAACCCACGUUUUGCGGCGCACGGUUGCGAAGUGCUCGAGUGACCCCUGAGGAUGAUCGAUCGGAGAUACCGUACCGCUAACUGUCAAAACUCGUCCGAAAUGUAUUCGCGCGGAAUCGCCUGAUAACGAGUAAGUCCCAGUAGCGGGGGGAUCUUGUAUCUGCAUAUUUUUUUUCAGUUCGCAUUGUUGUAUACGUCAUUACGUGUGAAAUUGCGCGUCGAUCGCAAUGGAACGCGAUGGUGUAUCAAUAUGGAAUUGUUAGACGCUAGAUAUUUUCACGAAAGCUUAGAACGAAAUAAGUGAAAUGAAUGAAGUGAACCUACAUACGCGCGCCUAACGAAUAUCGAUACUAAAAAUCGUUGUACAUUUAUUAUAUUACUCUAUAUAGCGUUAUAUAAAUAUCUGGCUCUGUUCCUCCCAAGGAAAAAUAUAUUUUAUCUAACCGUGACACGACAUGUUCCACGCCGUCACUGCCUGCCGGCGUUAAUUUCCGAGGUUCAUCAACGUUGAAAAUCUCGACACAAUGACACAUUACACGUUAGACGGCGUGCCGUCCCAGUUGCAUCACAUUACAAAUCUCAAGUUGUCACCCGGGAGUGGUGGAGCGCCCGGUGGAACUGGCGACAUUGUCAGUGUUCAGCCACCCCCGGGGGUUGAGGCGCCGUCUCAGCAGCAUCACCACUUCCAUCAUCAGGGCUAUCCGCCGCAUCAUCCGCACACGGCCCCGCAUAUACCUCCCUCGCACAUGGGACACCACAUGGGCCACCACGCGACUUACGGCCGCGACUUCCUUCUGCGACGGGAGCACGAGUUCAACACGGCGAGUCCCACCACACCCGAGAAUGGGUUAAGCCUCUUUACGUCGCUGCAUCACGACGGCACCACCACGAUGCAGCAAUUCUCGCAUCAUCCCGGCCAGCACCCGCUGGCGGCAACCCACUAUCCCGGGACACCCUAUUCCCAAGACACCCGGAUACCACCCCAUCAUCAUCAUCAUCAGUAUCUAACCCCGCCGCACUUGCCGCCGACUUCGAUGCAGCAUCCGCAGCAUCCGGCCAUGGCCACGGCUCAUCCUCCCGCCAGUUUCCUCAGAUACAUGAGGAACAUCGACGGACCCAUUCCCUCGGUCAACGGCGGCGCGCAUCAGGAGAUCUCGUGCAUGUGGAUGGAUCCGGACGUGGGCGCCGGGAGAAAGCUCUGCGGCAAGCACUUCAACAGCCUCAACGACAUCGUGUCGCAUCUACAGAUGGACCACGUGGGCGGAGCCGAAAGCACAACGCACGCGUGCUACUGGCAAGGUUGUUCGCGCGACGGCAAAGCUUUCAAGGCCAAGUACAAGCUCGUCAAUCAUAUAAGGGUGCAUACCGGGGAAAAACCCUUUCCCUGCUUGCAUCCCGGCUGCGGCAAGGUCUUUGCUAGAUCGGAGAAUCUCAAGAUACACAAGAGGACGCACACCGGCGAGAAGCCCUUCAAGUGCGAAUACCAGGGCUGUGAUAGAAGGUUCGCGAACAGUAGUGAUCGGAAGAAACAUAGUCACGUUCACACAUCCGACAAACCUUACACUUGUCGACAACAUAAUUGCGACAAGUCCUACACUCAUCCAAGUUCACUGCGUAAACACAUGAAGAUACAUGGCGCGAUCAACGAGAGCAAGCCGGGGUCGUACGAGAGCGAGGGCGAGGAUAGCAGCAGCAGCGGCGGCAGCGUAUCCGUGACGGAGAACACGGAGUCGCCUCGACCGCUUCCUGUCGUCCCGACGACGUCGGCGAUCAACUUACCGCCGCCGGUGCCCGUGAGUCACGUGUCGAGCGCGUCGAGUCGCGUAACGUCUGAGCUAACGGAAUGGGUGAUGCCGAAGAUGACUGAUUACGAAGAGAUCACGAUAGACGAGCCUAAGUGGUUGUUGGACUUGUGAGAGAUUGAGCCUAGAUUCGAGUCCGUUUUUCCUCCUCCACGAGUUUGGUCACGCGCCCCCAAAAUUUUUGUUCAUCCGUGGAAGCUUACAGAUUUAUUAAACGCAAGAUGGAUCUUGGCGAAUGAAAGAAUGUCAGGUGAAAGAGGGCUUGCCUGAUUAUCGAGAGAGUUUAGAAACUCGAGUCUCGAUGUUUUUCCCUCAUUCGUAAAAACGUCUUUCCAAAGUUCGCUCCUCUUCUCCUUUCAUAUCUGUCACUGCGAGACGAUGAUAUGAAGCAAAAUGCCUUGCCGUAAAAGGAGUACAAUUUCACGAAACAAAAUUCAUAUGACAAUCAUUCAAGUCGAAUGGUCUUUCGAAAAAAAAUUCAAAUAUUGUACAAAGGAAACAAGGAUAUUCAAAAUGAGCUCGAUUUUAUGUUAAUCGAAUAAAUUCAAUUUUAAGCAUAUGAUGAAUUUAUAACAAA